UACAGAGGUCCCAAGCGUUGUUCGGAUUCAUUGGGCGUAAAGGGUGCGUAGGCGGCGCGGUAAGUCGGGUGUGAAAUCUCGGGGCUUAACUCCGAAACUGCAUUCGAUACUGCCGUGCUUGAGGACUGGAGAGGAGACUGGAAUUUACGGUGUAGCGGUGAAAUGCGUAGAUAUCGUAAGGAAGACCAGUGGCGAAGGCGGGUCUCUGGACAGUUACUGACACUGAGGCACGAAGGCCAGGGGAGCAAACGGG
rnacentral:rRNA from 1 species